rnacentral:rRNA from 1 species
UACAGAGGGGGCAAGCGUUAUUCGGAAUUAUUGGGCGUAAAGGGCGCGUAGGCGGCCUGGCAAGUGGAUGGUGAAAUCCCUCGGCUUAACCGAGGAACUGCCAUCCAGACUGCUUGGCUUGAGACCGGGAGAGGUGGGUGGAAUUCCCAGUGUAGCGGUGAAAUGCGUAGAUAUUGGGAGGAACACCAGUGGCGAGGGCGGCUCACUGGACCGGUACUGACGCUGAGGCGCGAAAGCGUGGGGAGCAAACGGG